rnacentral:lncRNA from 1 species
CAUUCAUUGACUGGGGGAAAUUAGGUGAACGUUCGUCUGUAAUGCCCACUGCUCACGACAUACUUAUCAUAUAAAUUUAAACUGUGAGGUCACCAAAGGUUCUAAACGCCUAAAAAAAAUAAUUAAAAAUACUAAUCAGGAAUAACCUUUGUAAUUUGAAAAUAAAUAAAAAUGGCCUUCAACACGGAGUCUUGGCUCACACCGAACAGCAAGC